rnacentral:rRNA from 2 species
AAAUUGAAGAGUUUGAUCAUGGCUCAGAUUGAACGCUGGCGGCAGGCCUAACACAUGCAAGUCGAACGGUAACAGGAAGCAGCUUGCUGCUUUGCUGACGAGUGGCGGACGGGUGAGUAAUGUCUGGGAAACUGCCUGAUGGAGGGGGAUAACUACUGGAAACGGUAGCUAAUACCGCAUAACGUCGCAAGACCAAAGAGGGGGACCUUCGGGCCUCUUGCCAUCGGAUGUGCCCAGAUGGGAUUAGCUUGUUGGUGGGGUAACGGCUCACCAA